AGAAAAAACUUUGUCGUCUUCUCGCGUGUUACACGAUCAUGUCAACUGGCUCCCCGGCAAAGGAUUAAACCGGAUUUACGUGACUAAGAUUCUAUCAUAGGAAUACUGAAAUGUAGUGUAAGCAACUGUCAAAAUAAUGCUGAAUGAAUGGCGAGGAUAUGUAAAUGCUCAUUUUAUGAUCUUUGUAUAAAUAAAUAUAUGAACCAAAUGUGUUUAUCUUGUAAAAAAACAGAAAACUUCAUGGAUGAACUCUUGAUCGUGUUCAAGGUGAUAGCUUAUCAAUUCAAAAAUUGAUUGUGAAAAUGCAACUUCUCAAAAAAUGCUUUCAUGUA